GAGUUUGAUCAUGGCUCAGGACGAACGCUGGCGGCGUGCCUAAUACAUGCAAGUAGAACGCUGAAGAGAGGAGCUUGCUCUUCUUGGAUGAGUUGCGAACGGGUGAGUAACGCGUAGGUAACCUGCCUUGUAGCGGGGGAUAACUAUUGGAAACGAUAGCUAAUACCGCAUAACAAUAGGUGACACAUGUCAUUUAUUUGAAAGGGGCAAUUGCUCCACUACAAGAUGGACCUGCGUUGUAUUAGCUAGUAGGUGAGGUAACGGCUCACCUAGGCGACGAUACAUAGCCGACCUGAGAGGGUGAUCGGCCACACUGGGACUGAGACACGGCCCAGACUCCUACGGGAGGCAGCAGUAGGGAAUCUUCGGCAAUGGGGGCAACCCUGACCGAGCAACGCCGCGUGAGUGAAGAAGGUUUUCGGAUCGUAAAGCUCUGUUGUAAGUCAAGAACGAGUGUGAGAGUGGAAAGUUCACACUGUGACGGUAGCUUACCAGAAAGGGACGGCUAACUACGUGCCAGCAGCCGCGGUAAUACGUAGGUCCCGAGCGUUGUCCGGAUUUAUUGGGCGUAAAGCGAGCGCAGGCGGUUUGAUAAGUCUGAAGUUAAAGGCUGUGGCUCAACCAUAGUUCGCUUUGGAAACUGUCAAACUUGAGUGCAGAAGGGGAGAGUGGAAUUCCAUGUGUAGCGGUGAAGUGCGUAGAUAUAUGGAGGAACACCGGUGGCGAAAGCGGCUCUCUGGUCUGUAACUGACGCUGAGGCUCGAAAGCGUGGGGAGCGAACAGGAUUAGAUACCCUGGUAGUCCACGCCGUAAGCGAUGAGUGCUAGGUGUUGGAUCCUUUCCGGGAUUCAGUGCCGCAGCUAACGCAUUAAGCACUCCGCCUGGGGAGUACGACCGCAAGGUUGAAACUCAAAGGAAUUGACGGGGGCCCGCACAAGCGGUGGAGCAUGUGGUUUAAUUCGAAGCAACGCGAAGAACCUUACCAGGUCUUGACAUCCCGAUGCUAUUUCUAGAGAUAGAAAGUUACUUCGGUACAUCGGUGACAGGUGGUGCAUGGUUGUCGUCAGCUCGUGUCGUGAGAUGUUGGGUUAAGUCCCGCAACGAGCGCAACCCCUAUUGUUAGUUGCCAUCAUUCAGUUGGGCACUCUAGCGAGACUGCCGGUAAUAAACCGGAGGAAGGUGGGGAUGACGUCAAAUCAUCAUGCCCCUUAUGACCUGGGCUACACACGUGCUACAAUGGUUGGUACAACGAGUUGCGAGUCGGUGACGGCAAGCUAAUCUCUUAAAGCCAAUCUCAGUUCGGAUUGUAGGCUGCAACUCGCCUACAUGAAGUCGGAAUCGCUAGUAAUCGCGGAUCAGCACGCCGCGGUGAAUACGUUCCCGGGCCUUGUACACACCGCCCGUCA
rnacentral:rRNA from 1 species